rnacentral:rRNA from 1 species
GAUGAACGCUGGCGGCGUGCCUAAUACAUGCAAGUCGAGCGAACAGACGAGGAGCUUGCUCCUCUGACGUUAGCGGCGGACGGGUGAGUAACACGUGGAUAACCUACCUAUAAGACUGGGAUAACUUCGGGAAACCGGAGCUAAUACCGGAUAAUAUAUUGAACCGCAUGGUUCAAUAGUGAAAGACGGUUUUGCUGUCACUUAUAGAUGGAUCCGCGCCGCAUUAGCUAGUUGGUAAGGUAACGGCUUACCAAGGCGACGAUGCGUAGCCGACCUGAGAGGGUGAUCGGCCACACUGGAACUGAGACACGGUCCUGACUCCUACGGGAGGCAGCAGUAGGGAAUCUUCCGCAAAGGGCGAAAGCCUGACGGAGCAACGCCGCGUGAGUGAUGAAGGUCUUCGGAUCGUAAAACUCUGUUAUUAGGGAAGAACAAAUGUGUAAGUAACUAUGCACGUCUUGACGGUACCUAAUCAGAAAGCCACGGCUAACUACGUG